rnacentral:tRNA from 3 species
GGCCUUAGCUCAGUUGGUAGAGCGCCUGCUUUGCAAGCAGGAUGUCAGGAGUUCGAAUCUCCUAGGCUCC